UUUCAAGAGGCGUUUUCCACGAACGCGGCAAUUUUUGCCGGCAAGUUGCGUCGCACUCUGCAUUCGCUGGUUAAUCAGCCUGAUACGAUGCGUAUAAAGUGUCUAAUCCAGAGAUGAUCCUCUAAUUAUCUUGGUCCUGACAUUUUCAAGCGUCCAAUGCUAUCGCGAUCAACGUCCCUCAGAGUUUCUGCUCGAUGACAGCCCUCCGUCAUUGCUUCUUCAUCGAAAGAUAAGAGCCGCGUAGAAUAAAUAAUAUCUGGCCGUGGUUGGCGUUAAUGAAACGCUUUCAAUGAAACUUACAAAUUUAAAACACCCGAUUGUCCUGGCUCGAAACAUCGUAAAGCGUCGAUCCGCUCGAGGAAAGCCGCCUCCUCCGACGAGGAAGAAAACAAAGCAACGCGAACGAACCUCGAUUUGCCCGAGCUGCUGCGUCCCUCUCUCUUGCUGCACGUUGGAACGCGAAAGCUCGCGUAAAUCCCCUUCUGAAUACGGCGGCAACCCAGUUUAUCGGCCGUAGGCGCCACAGGCGCUUCUUUAUGCCGGCGUGCGAAACGUGAAUGGCUUCCGUGAACCUGAACCCGACCGACAAACCACCGUCGCCGCCAAUGUCAACGGGACAGGCCGCCGUUAACCAAUGUC
rnacentral:misc_RNA from 1 species